GAUGGCUGCCACCAUGAUCUUGUCUUGGGUGGUGAUGAUAAGCCUUCAAAUUCAGCUGGAUGCAGCUUGGACAACAGGAGAUGCUGAACCAGAAAGGCCUCUAACAACAGAAGAAGCACUACAUCCCCCAACAACACUUGAC